rnacentral:rRNA from 1 species
AUUGAACGCUGGCGGCAGGCCUAACACAUGCAAGUCGAGCGGUGGAAGGGAGCUUGCUUCUGGAUUCAGCGGCGGACGGGUGAGUAAGGCCUAGGAAUCGGCUUGGUAGUGGGGGAGAACGUCCGGAAACGGGCGCUAAGACCGCACACGUCCUGAGGGAGAAAGAGGGGGAUCUUCGGACCACACUCUAUCAGAAGAGCCUAGGUAGGAUUAGCUAGUUGGUGGGGUAAAGGCCGACCAAGGCGACGAUCCGUAACUGGUCUGAGAGGAUGAUUGGUCCCACUGGAAUUGAGACACGGCCCAGACUCUUACGGGAGGCAGCAGUGGGGAAUAUUGGCCAAUGGGCGAAGUCCUGCUCCAGCCCUGCCGCGUGUGUGAAGAAGGUCUUCGGAUUGUAAAGCACGUUAAGUGGGGAGGACGGGCAGUAAGUUGAUACCUUGCUGUUUUGACGUUACCAACAGAAUAAGCACCGGCUAACUUCGUG